rnacentral:rRNA from 1 species
UGAUUCCCCCAGUAACGGCGAGUGAACAGGGAAAAGCUCAAAGUUGGAAGCUCCUGGCCCUAGGCUAGGCGCAUUGUAAACUAAAGCUGUAAAGUAGUUCGGUUGGCCUGGUAAAAAAGUUCCCUGGAAUGGGGCGACAUGGAGGGUGAAAUCCCCGUCUUUGGCCAGAGUUCAGCCGUGCGUUUGCUUUGCUGCGAAGAGUCAGGUUGUUUGGGAAUGCAGCCUAAAAUGGGAGGUAGACUUCUCCUAAAGCUAAAUAUUGACGAAAGACCGAUAGCGAACAAGUACCGUGAGGGAAAGAUGAAAAGCACUUUGAAAAGAGGGUCAAAAAGUACGUGAAAUUGCUGAAAGGGAACCGUAUGAAAUCAGCCUGAUGUAUGGGUAAUCAGCCUGGGCUUUGGCCUGGGUGCACUUGCCCAUGUAUUAGCCUGCGACAGUUUGACCUGGGGGAAAAAAGAUGGGGGAAUGUGGCCUCGGCUUCGGUCGUGGUGUUAUAGCCCCUGUCAAAAUACCUUGGGUUGGACUGAGGACUGCAGCGAGCCGUAAGGCAUGGGUCUCGGGCGCUCUGUCUUGGCGAAAAGUGAAUCUCUGCUUCGGGUGGUGCGCUUUUCUUCAGGGCAGACUCGCCUGUUUCUUCUUUCUCUCGCUUAGGUCGUAGGCAUAAUGAUUUUAUAUGACC